AUGAUUCUUCGUGAUGAUAGAGGCAACAUCAUCUAUACUGCUUGUAGACAGCUCCUUACAUGCGAUAAUGGCCUUGAGGCAGAGCUGGCUGCGUGCAGAGAGGGCCUGGAGCUUGCGCUUUACCGUACGAACCUGCCCGUUAUGGUUGAGCUCGACUGUGCAGAAGCGGUGUCUAUGCUGCUAGCACGUACUGGAGAUAGAUCGCAGUACCGUGUGCUCAUUGAGGAGAUUCGAAGACUAGCACAAGAUGCUUGUAGGGAGAUUUCUUUUACUCUUAUUAGUCGCUCGCAGAAUAAGGUUAGUCAUGCGAUUGCCGCGUAUGGACGUGCUACACCCCGCACUGCAGUUUGGCUGUGCUCGGGGCUGGAUUUUGUUGUAAACCUUUCGAAGGCGGAUAUGCCUCCUUGA
rnacentral:rRNA from 1 species